rnacentral:ribozyme from 1 species
CUUUUACGCCAACCCGGAAAAAUAAGAUGAAAUCUGAACACCCAUCAUCAUACGCGACCUGCGAUUGAUUAACGGCAGUGUAAAGGAUAAAUUAUUUUGCAAGAAAUCCAUAUACACCUCUCAAAAAUCUGGCGAAUUUCAAGUUGAUGUUUUUUCGAAGCGCUGCAUUCCUCGAGAUGCUGAGAUCCCUCGUCACUACCGUUGAUGAUUAGGAACUAAUUUUCUUUCCAUCGUUGUUCCCACUGACUGCAUUCCAAAAUUACAUUCCCAU